UAAAAUCAAGAGUUUGGAGGUUUCCGGUGACGUCAUGUCGUGGUGGUGCAGGAGAACUUUGCUCUGCUCUCCUGCAUCAGGUUUUUUACCUUUGGAUAGCCGUUUGUGAUGUGGUCAGAUCCCGGAGGGAUCACCAAAGUAAGGAG